rnacentral:tRNA from 1 species
AAACUUAGGUUAACAUAAANCCAAGAGCCUUCAAAGCCCUUAAUAAGGAC